rnacentral:rRNA from 1 species
CACGUAGGGUGCGAGCGUUGUCCAGAAUUAUUGGGCGUAAAGAGCUCGUAGGCGGUGUGUCGCGUCGGCCGUGAAAACCUGCAGCUUAACUGUGGGCUUGCGGUCGAUACGGGCAUCACUGGAGUUCGGCAGGGGAGACUGGAAUUCCUGGUGUAGCGGUGAAAUGUGCAGAUAUCAGGAGGAACACCGGUGGCGAAGGCGGGUCUCUGGGCCGAUACUGACGCUGAGGAGCGAAAGCGUGGGGAGCGAACAGG